UUUCGGGAGGGGUAGACGUUAAAGAAUACCAACAAAAACUACUUACGAGAGGCAACCUCGUAUAAAAGCGUA
rnacentral:ncRNA from 1 species